GACAGAGGUGCCAAGCGUUAGGCGGAAUCACUGGGCUUAAAGCGCGUGUAGGUGGCGGCCUAAGUACCUUGUGAAAUCCUGCGGCUCAACCGCAGAACUGCUUGGUAUACUGGGUCGCUUGAGCCAUCCAGGGGCAACUGGAACAAGCGGUGGAGCGGUGAAAUGCGCAGAUAUCAGGAGGAACACCGGUGGCGAAGGCGGGUCUCUGGGCAACAACUGACGCUGAGGAGCGAAAGCGGGGGGAGCGAACAGG
rnacentral:rRNA from 1 species